GACGAACGCUGGCGGCGUGCUUAACACAUGCAAGUCGAGCGGUAAGGCCCCUUCGGGGGUACACGAGCGGCGAACGGGUGCGUAACACGUGAGCAAUCUGCCCAUCACAUCGGGAUAACUCCGGGAAACCGAAGCUAAUACCGAAUACGACCACCUCCGGCAUCGGAUGGUGGUGGAAAGUUCCGGCGGUGAUGGAUGAGCUCGCGGCCUAUCAGCUUGUUGGUGGGGUAACGGCCCACCAAGGCUUCGACGGGUAGCCGGCCUGAGAGGGUGACCGGCCACACUGGGACUGAGACACGGCCCAGACUCCUACGGGAGGCAGCAGUGGGGAAUAUUGGACAAUGGGCGAAAGCCUGAUCCAGCAACGCCGCGUGAGGGAUGACGGCCUUCGGGUUGUAAACCUCUUCCAGCAGGGACGAAGCGCAAGUGACGGUACCUGCAGAAGAAGCACCGGCCAACUACGUG
rnacentral:rRNA from 1 species